rnacentral:rRNA from 1 species
UGAUUAUGACGUACUUGUACUGAUUGAGAUUUUAACACGAAGUGAGUGGCGAACGGGUGAGUAACACGUGGGUAACCUGCCCAGAAGUAGGGGAUAACACCUGGAAACAGAUGCUAAUACCGUAUAACAGAGAAAACCGCAUGGUUUUCUUUUAAAAGAUGGCUCUGCUAUCACUUCUGGAUGGACCCGCGGCGUAUUAGCUAGUUGGUGAGGUAAAGGCUCACCAAGGCAGUGAUACGUAGCCGACCUGAGAGGGUAAUCGGCCACAUUGGGACUGAGACACGGCCCAGACUCCUACGGGAGGCAGCAGUAGGGAAUCUUCCACAAUGGACGCAAGUCUGAUGGAGCAACGCCGCGUGAGUGAAGAAGGGUUUCGGCUCGUAAAGCUCUGUUGUUAAAGAAGAACGUGGGUAAGAGUAACUGUUUACCCAGUGACGGUAUUUAACCAGAAAGCCACGGCUAACUACGUG